rnacentral:SRP_RNA from 1 species
CACCGGGGACCUCGUAGAAUAAGCAACUUGAACCAGGUCAGGAUCGGAAGGUAGCAGCCUUAAGAGAACUGUCUUAUGCUACGAGUUCAUCUCCGGUGUUU